GACAGAGGUGCCAAGCGUUAGGCGGAAUCACUGGGCUUAAAGCGUGUGUAGGCGGAUGCCUAAGUACCUUGUGAAAUCCCACGGCUCACCCGUGGAACUGCUUGGUAUACUGGGUGUCUUGAGCCACUUAGGGGCUACCGGAACAAAUGGUGGAGCGGUGAAAUGCGUAGAUAUCAUUUGGAACGCCAAUGGUGAAAACAGGUAGCUGGGAGUGUGCUGACGCUGAGACACGAAAGCCAGGGGAGCAAACGGG
rnacentral:rRNA from 1 species